UGGGGAAUCUUGCGCAAUGGGCGAAAGCCUGACGCAGCGACGCCGCGUGUGGGAUGAGGGUCUUCGGAUUGUAAACCACUGUCGCGAGGGACGAAGCUCUGACGGUACCUCGAAAGGAAGCACCGGCUAACUCUGUGCCAGCAGCCGCGGUAAUACAGAGGGUGCGAGCGUUGUCCGGAAUCACUGGGCGUAAAGGGCGCGUAGGCGGCCCGGUAAGUAGGGGGUGAAAUCUCAUGGCUCAACUGUGAGGCUGCCUUCUAGACUGCCAGGCUUGAGCACAGUAGAGGCGAGUGGAAUUCCCGGUGUAGCGGUGGAAUGCGUAGAGAUCGGGAAGAACAUCGGUGGCGAAGGCGGCUCGCUGGGCUGUUGCUGACGCUGAGGCGCGAAAGCGUGGGGAGCAAACAGGAUUAGAUACCCCUGUAGUCCCUGAGCGGGCUGGCAAGGCGCAU
rnacentral:rRNA from 1 species